GAUGAACGCUGGCGGCGUGCCUAAUACAUGCAAGUCGAGCGAAGUGGGGACGGGUGAGUAAUACGUGGAUAACCUCCCCUAAGUCUGGGAUAACUUCUGGAAACCGGAGCUAAACUCGAUACUUAUAGUAGGAUCCGGGCUGCAGUAGCUAGUUGGUAAGUUAACGGCUUACCAAGGCUACGAUGCAUAGCCGACCUGAGAGGAUGAUCGGCAACACGGGAGCGGAGACACGGUGCAGACUCGUAAGGGAGGCAGCAGUAGGGAAUCUUCCGCAAUGAGCGGAAGGCUGACGGGGCAACGCCGCGUGAGUGAUGAAGGGCUUCGGAUCGUAAAGCACUGUUAUUAGGGAAGCGGUACCUAAUCAGAAAGCAACGGCUAACUACGUGCCAGCAGCCGCGGUAAUAC
rnacentral:rRNA from 1 species